CUAUUUAAACACCCAACUUCCCCUUCCCUCUCAUUUGAUCCCUCCUUCAAAACUUUCCCCUUAUCUAAAUAUGAGAUUUUCUCUCGAAAUCAACUCACCCAAAAUCACAAAAUUCUUCAAAUUGAGCACCGGAUCAAUCAGGAGCUUCUACGAGCAAGGCAAAGGGCAAAGAGAAGCUUACCUAGCCUUCAAUGUUCGACCGAAAGUAAUCUGAGAGGUAGCUUCUUAAGGAUGGGAAGUGUGCAAGCAAGUGAUCCAUCUAAGGCAUUCCAUUCGAGUAUGUGAAUUGAUUUUUCAACUAGCAUAAAAAUGGCAAUGUGAGACUAUUUUGUAACGGGUUUAAACUUUAUAUUUGUUGAUGGUUGUAAAAGGAAUUUAAUGGACUGUUUAAGGAAUUUAUAACUAGUUUGUUAUUAUUUGGAUUAUUGAAAA